UACGAGGGGGGCGAGCGUUGUUCGGAAUUAUUGGGCGUAAAGGGUGCGUAGGCGGUUUGGUAAGUCUUAUGUGAAAUCUACAGGCUCAACUUGUAGUCUGCAUGAGAAACUGCCGGGCUUGAGUAUGGGAGAGGUGAGUGGAAUUCCUGGUGUAGCGGUGAAAUGCGUAGAUAUCAGGAGGAACACCUGUGGCGAAAGCGGCUCACUGGACCGAUAACUGACGCUGGAGGCGCGAAAGCUAGGGGAGCAAACAGG
rnacentral:rRNA from 1 species